GGAUAUCACCCUACGACACCUCACCAUCGAUAACCAUCAUGAUUCACCACUAAAGAGAGCAUCUAAUUCAACCCACAUUGGAAUCUUCCUUUGAGUCAUUUUCCUUAAAAGGGUUACAGCACUUCCAGCUCCAUUGAGCACUGGCAUAUCUUCUUUUAUUUAUUUUUUAGGUACAAUUUACGUACGGUAAAGUGCAUAAAUCUUAAGUGUUUUGCUUGAAGAAUUUUUACUUACAUGUAUACUCAUCACCACCUACCAGACGAAGAUACAGAACAUUUCCAACACUUCAGAAGCUUCUCUUAUGCCCAUUUCCAGUCUACACUGCUCCAAAGAUUCGCUAGAGAAAAUUCACCCCUAUUGCCUGCACCCAGAGUUGAUCACUUCCACCACCCUACAGUGAUCCUGCCACUACAUGAAAAUUCUGACCCUUAAACGUGUAUCCUGAUUGGCAUCUCCUACUGAUGAUAAUGCUGGAGAGCCCACUAAGAAACCUGGCAAUUGGUGUUAGCUUCAGCCUCAGAUCUCAUGGAAAACCCAUCCCACAUAGUACAUGGAAAGCACCAUCAUUACCUCUUAAGAAAUAAGCUGGUCUGAUGUUUGAAACUUCAUUCCUGGGAUUUGAGAUACGCAGGAGAGGACUGUGAAGUGCCCCCAUCCAGAACCAAGAAGGUUAGAAGAAAGAAGAUAGAGAGGUCAAAACAACGACAAAAACAGAAACAUUACAGGAUCACUCCUAUCCCACCUUUUGUCAGCCAUGGUCCUGGGCCCCAACAUUACUCCACUUAGCCUUAUGUUGAAAGAACUUAAACAAAACUGUGAAAGGCUC
rnacentral:lncRNA from 1 species